AGCGAACGCUGGCGGCAGGCCUAACACAUGCAAGUCGAACGAACUCUUCGGAGUUAGUGGCGGACGGGUGAGUAACACGUGGGAACGUGCCUUUAGGUUCGGAAUAACUCGGGGAAACUUGUGCUAAUACCGAAUGUGCCCUUCGGGGGAAAGAUUUAUCGCCUUUCGAGCGGCCCGCGUCUGAUUAGCUAGUUGGUGAGGUAAAGGCUCACCAAGGCGACGAUCAGUAGCUGGUCUGAGAGGAUGAUCAGCCACAUUGGGACUGAGACACGGCCCAAACUCCUACGGGAGGCAGCAGUGGGGAAUCUUGCGCAAUGGGCGAAAGCCUGACGCAGCCAUGCCGCGUGAAUGAUGAAGGUCGUAGGAUUGUAAAAUUCUUUCACCGGGGACGAUAAUGACGGUACCCGGAGAAGAAGCCCCGGCUAACUUCGUG
rnacentral:rRNA from 1 species